rnacentral:lncRNA from 1 species
AUCGUAUGUUUACCUUAAGCAAAACUGGCAAGACAUGGAUUCCACAUUUGUAUCUCUCUCCCUCUAGAAUGCAAGUUCCCUGACCACAGAGGUUGGGUCUUUUAAAGAACCUACUGUGUGCUGAGCGCUGUUGUAAGCACUGAGAAAUAAAGAACAAGAGAGGCGAAGUCCCUGAUGUCUCGGAGUUUAUGGUCUUAUGCGGUAAGUCAGACAAUUAACAAACAGAUAAAAGCAUAGUGAUAAGUGCUACUCUAGUGUACUAAAGAGUAGUAAGAGAGAAAAAGGAAAACAUAAGAUCAUGUGGUCUAAUCACGGCAGAGAAUUGAGGAGGAGCCAGUGAUGCCUGGAACCAGGGCAAGACUGCUUGAUCCUGAGGGCAGAGUAAGAGCUCAGAUAUUUGCGGAGGGAAGGAAGGAGCUGGUUGAGAUCUAGUUCAAGGAUAUAAAAGGGAUUCAAACUCCUUCCAUAUAGAAACCAGUAGUACAGUAACUUUCCAGUCCAGGAACAAAACGCAGAGAAAAGCACCAACAUUUUCAGGUCUAGUUCAGACUUGGAGCCUUGGAAGGUGAUAAUGGUUUGGAUCUGUGUCCCCACCAAAUAUAAUGUUGAAUUGUAAUCCCCAGUGUUGGAGGCAGGGUCUGGUGGGAGGCGAUCAGAUCAUGAGGGCGGAGUUCUCAUGGAUGGUUUAGCACCAUCCUCCCUUGGUACCAUAUAGUGAGUGAGUUCUCACGAGAUCUGGUUGUUUAAAAGUGUAUGGCACCUCCCCCGCCCCAUCUCUUGCUCCUGCUCCAGCCAUGUAAGACUUGCCUGCUUUCCCUUUGCCUUCCAUCAUGAUUAUCAGUCUCCUGAGGCCUCCCCAGCCACACUUCCUGUAUAGCCUGUGGAACCAUGAGCCAAUUACACCUUUUUUCUUUAUAAACAAUCUCAGGUACUUCUUUUCUUUCUUUUUUGAGAUGGGGUCUCACUCUGUCAUCCAGACUGGAGUGCAGUGGCGCUAUCUCAACCCACUGCAACCUCUGCCUCCUGGGCUCAAGUGAUUAUCUCACCUCAGCCUCCCAAGUAGCAAGUAGCUGGGACUGCAGGCACACACCACCACACCUGGCUAAUUUUUGUAUUUUUGGUAGAGACAGGGUUUCAUUCGAGACCAGGGUCUCGAACUCCUGGACUCAAGUGAUCUGCCUGCCUCAGCCUCCCAAAGUGCUGGGAUUAUAGGCAUGAGCCACCACACCAUACCUGCCCUAGGUAUUUCUUUACAGCAGUGUGAAAAUGGACUACUACAGGAGGGGUGGCCAGAGGCUAUGCUGAACUGGUGAUCUUAG